rnacentral:rRNA from 1 species
UACGGGGGGGGCAAGCGUUGUUCGGAAUUACUGGGCGUAAAGGGCGCGUAGGCGGUUCGUCACGUCGGGCGUGAAAACUCGGAGCUUAACUCCGAGCCUGCUUCCGAUACGGGCAGACUAGAGGUAGGCAGGGGAGAGCGGAACUCCUGGUGUAGCGGUGGAAUGCGCAGAUAUCAGGAAGAACACCGGUGGCGAAAGCGGCUCUCUGGGCCUUACCUGACGCUGAGGAGCGAAAGCGUGGGUAGCGAACAGG